GCUGCGGUGAAGAGAUCAGGAGCUGAAGAGAGUGGUGGGAGCUGAAGAAGCCACAGCAGCAGAAGAAACAGCAGCAACUGAAGAAGCCGCAGUAGCAAAAGCGGCAGGAGAAGCAGAAGCACAGGCAAUAUGAAGCCCAAUAAGACAGAUCAAAAGGACCCCGAAAGAUGAAUUGGAGGAAUUUUUGAGAAGGAAGAGUGCUCAGUUUGAAAAGGUAUGUCCUUAUUGGAGGAAAGUGCUGAGACGUGUUGUUGCCACAGUCAAACUGCUGUCUUCUUUGGGACUACCUCUAAGAGAACAUGAUGAGUCAUGUUUGUCACAUCAAAAAGGCAUAAACCUAACCGGAGAAGCAAACUCUUUUGCUAACAAUGUUCUCAUUUUGCUCCCCACCCUCCAAAGAGCUAAAUGGGUGCCAUGAAAUUUCUGGGGAUAACCUCAAGUGAGUGCAACUCUUGAGCCAGGAUUAGAACCAUGCUUUGAUUCCCUGGUAUGGGCAGACACACAUUGGCAAUACAAGUCAACUUGAAGAAAAGCUGUUUUAUUUUCAGAGCAUUUUACACCUCAGGAACCCCUUACUCAACUGAUUCCAAAUUUGGACCACUGACUGAACCCUCGCAUCACUAUGAGAACAAAGGGUGUUUGAAGGCUACAACAACAGAUCAGAAAUACUUCAGAGAAAAAGGAGGAUGGUCCAGUCAUUAGGAGACUAACCUAUGAAGACCGGAGACCAAUUCCCUGCUCCUCUACAGACUUCCUGAAUCACCCUUGGCAAAUCACAGCUUGUCUACAUCUCAGUUCCUCAUCUGUAAAAACAAUAAUAGCACCUCUCUACCUCAUAAGACUGUUGUGAGGAAAAAUGCUUUGAAGAUUGGGAGGCACUCAUUUGUAGUUACACCCAAGAUGCAUCUACACUAGAAACACUACAGCAACAGCUCUGUAGUGUAAACAUUUACUACAAUGACGGAAGGGGUUCUUCUGUCACUGACAUAAAUCCACACCUCCAAGAGGUGAUAGCGCAACAGAAGAAACCACAGCUUAGAAAAUCAGAAAAAGCUGGUACCAGCUAAAGAGCAACCCAGAAUAACAUGAACCUACUGUCACGACAAAAAUUGUGUUUUGUGUUUUAUGUUUUGUCUUGUGUUGUUUGUCUUGUUGCUAGCAUUGUUGUGUAUUGUGUUACAAAAAAAACCUACUGCAUUAGGCAAAAAAGAAUUAAUAAGCAUUUUAACUGUAUGUACAGAAACCAAUGUUGCAGAAGGGCAGAGGUCAAGGAAUGCCAGUCUGUUAACAGGAAAAACAUCCUCAGGUAGCAGACACCAUAUUAGGAGGGAUUGUUUUUUGGAGCAGGGAUUAUAAAUACUGUAACCCUGGAUAUAAUUAAGAAUAAAUUAAGUUCCUUGUCACAACUGCAAGAUAGUCUCAUUCACAAACAGGCAGAUACUACUGUGGACUUGGUAAAAAUAGGUCUGGGAAACCUGAAAGCAACAUGGAAUAUGUGGUGGUGGUUAAACACCACCACCUGGCUGCUGUAUAAACAACAAAGAAAAUUAGGGAAUAAAACUACCUUGGCCAUAGGAUGUACUGAAAUGCAAAUUCUUAGUUUAGCAUUACUUGAACACAAAAUGUUUUGGGUAAUACCUGGAAAUGUUAGGGUAUUAACGCAUCUUUUAAAACAAUGGAAGAGGUCCUUGUUUGACAGCUACAAAUAUGAAUGGAUGCAAUAUGUUUCCAGCAUGGUUAAGCCUAAUUUGUUAUUCGGUGAAAUUAUUGUUAAAAUUGCUCACCGACAGUCUGUGGAGACAGAAAUAUGGAAAGUGAGCCAGCUCCCAAAAUUGACCAUGGGAUCCCCCGGAUUAUGGGUCAGUGGGCUAGGAAAAAGGAGAAAUUAUUGAAUACCCAAGCAUGCAUGGAGUGGAGCUGGCCACUAGAUUGAUCUGGAAUCUGAACUGGUAACUAUAACAUCAACUGGUGGGACAGUGUGUGCAUGUGUGUGUGAUUGAAUGCAUAUGCUAAUUGUUGUAUCUCCAAUAAAUGCAGUAUAUUGCCUUUUCCCCUGAAAAAGAUUCCAUGUGCUUCUUAUAAGCCUAACAAUGUGACUAGUUUUGUUUCUUUUUUGUGGAUAACAAAGACUUGAAAGGUCACCCCCACCCAACCUGAAAAACAUGAGUAGUCAGAAGGCAACAAAUCUGGAGUUUCUAGUCCUCACCUACGUUAAAAACAAACCCUAAAUUUCUAGACAAAGACAGCUUAAUUUAUUUACAAACAUUACAAAAGUAAAAACCGUCAUUUAAAAAAAAAACCUACUUACUGAGCUGACACCUAGUCAGAUUUGCCUCUGUAUCUGCACAAAAAUUCUACCUUGGCAUAGGAUUAGAAAUGUGAAAUUUCAGACAGAUUCAAAUUUUGAUCAUGCGAUGGGGCUAGUAAGCACUAGGCUUAUAAUGGAAAGCUAGCUUCAACCUAAAGUAUGUAGAGUCUAAUAUCUUUAAAAACCCCACAAGCUUUCCACAAAAUGAGGUAACAAGUUUAAAAUCUAAUACAUUAAUCUGCUGUAUCUAAGCCAACUGCUAGCAAGAUUUUUUUGUCAAGGGUUUUAUUGGUUAGAGCAAAAAAAUGCAGAAGCAUUAUUCUGGGCAAUAAAAAUCAAUGUAUCAGCAUAUCACUCUUUGUGCCUUAUUAAACAUGUGGCAACUUAAGUUAUCAUUACAUUUUAUUAUUAUAAAAGUUACAUUUUAAAUUACUCUGUAAAAUAUUUAAUGGGGCUUCUGGGUUAUGGGACAAGAGAUAGAUGUGCAAUUAUUUAUUAGACACAGCAAUAUCUUAAGUUUGUGUUUUUCUAUCUAUUAUCAAGAUCCAUCCAAUGAUCAGACUGCAAAUUCCCUCAUCAGUUUUCCCAAUCACUUUAUCUACUUGCAUUCAAAAAACAUCAGAGUUUUUACCCACUUCAUUACUCUCAAAUACACGUUUGCCUUUCCAAAUUCCUCCCAUGUCAUUCUGUCAAUGUUGUUUAUAUCUAACCAUCACUAUAUUGCCAUAUUUGCAUGACACUCCACAUUUCUGCAGCCUUCCUCUCCUCUUUACUCGUAUCAUGAGCACUUCCAACAGAUAAUAAAGGCAACACUUUAAUUUGACAAAAUACUAUUUUUUAAUAGCAUAUGUGCAAAGAUAUACAUAUUGUCUCAAGAUCCUGGAUACCACUGACCAAAGGACAUUUUCUUAAGACUAAUGCUUUCGGUGAAAAAUAACAGUUUACUGAUAUAGUAAACAAACUGUUGCUACUAUGUUGAUGCUUCUGGGAAUGAUAUCACAGGCGAAGGAAUCAACUCAUACCUUUAGGUGGUAAGUAAUUAAGUUGUUAGUGGUAAAUAAAGUACCUAAUUUUCAUAUUUCUCUUUUAAACAAAGACAUAGUUUUGUUUUCUCAUAGGCCUUUUAAUGAUCUAUCUGUUACUAAGAAGGCCUCAAAACCUGCUUGUGGCCACAACACACAAAAACAAUGCAAAAAAUUAAAUUCUAUUAAAUUGAAGGGUACAAUUUUAAUCCUUAAAACAACAUACCCAUUUGGAAAAUUAACAAGGAAAUACAGAAAGAUACCAAAGCAUGUUCAAUAUUAUGCUAGUUUUAUCAGUAAGAUUUUUUUUAAAAUAAGUUUCAUUCUG